AGGGAGUCUAGACUGAACUACAAUAUGUAUGUGUGCAUACACACAUAAGACAUGAAAGUAGGAGAAUUAUUAGGGUGGGGAGGAAGGAGAUGGGGAAGUAGGGACAAGGAGGGCAGUGGGGGCUUGAACAAAGUUUUCAUAUAUAUGUAUGAAACAUCACAGUGAAAUUAACUAACUUGUUAAUUUAACAAACUACACAUUUUUCAGAGAGCUUGGAUGGGGUAGCCUUUGCAGUCCCUGAGGUGCUAUGACAGAAUGUGAACACUUGGGGGCACUCCAGCCAAUCUCCAGUAGUGAGAUACCAAUGCGUUUGAGAAUAAAAGGAACUUGAAGGGGCCAACAAGAUUUGGCUAGACAGUAAAGGCACUUACCUCUCAAGCCUGAGGAGUUCGGUUCAAUCCCCGGAGCCACAUGGUACGAGGAAAGAAUCAACUCCUGAAAGUUUGUCCUUUGACCCCUCACUCCCAAGUUGUGGCAAGCGCACCACCCCCAAUAAAUAAAUGAAAAUAAAAACCCUAAACAAAAAGAAAUGUCACUAUCAAUAUGAUUUUCAGGGACUGGGUUCUUUCCGAGAAAUCCUGAGCUGUGUUCAGAGGGUAAUAGGUCACGAGAUCUUCGCUUUUGUUUUGUUGGUUUUUUGUUUGUUUGUUUUUGAAACAGGGUUUCACUGUCUAACUCAGCUGUCCUAGAACUCCCUGUGUAGACCAAACUGGCCUCAAACUCCCAGAAAGUCGCCUGCCUUCACCUUCUGAGUGCUGGGUAAAGCAAUACCCUCCCACACCGGGACCUUUUCUCAUUUUAACUUUGCAAACACCCCAUUCAUUAGACACUAUUUUAAAAUGUAUUCCGUGUGUGUACCAGUGCCUUUGGGGGUCAGAAGAGAAUAUUGGAUCCCUUGGAGCUGGAGUUACAGGUGACUGUGAGUGCUGGGAACCAAAUUCUGACGAUCUGGAAGAACAGCAGGAGCUCUUACCGGUACAUAUGUGCAGCAUGUGCUCCAUUAGGUCAGAAGAGGUGGAGGUCCCCUGGUGCUGGAGUUACAGAAGGUAGCAAGUCCUGUGUGUGCUGGGAUUAGAACCCUGGUCCUCUGGAAGAGCCACCAGUGCUCUCAACCUCUGAGCCAUUUCUCCAGUCCAAGCUGUGAUUUUGAAGCUGUGGCAGAAGAGCCACCCAAGUAAACAGAAGAAGAGCUCACGGGUCCUGAGACCAUGGGCCAGUGUUGCUGAGGUCUGAGGGAAAGAGGGAGGUCAGAUGGCAGAGUGGGGCCUUUUGUUUUUGUUCUUGUUUGACCAAGAGCUUCGCCAUGUAGCGCUGGUUGGGCCAGGACUCACUGUGUAGACCAGGCUGGAUUCAAGCUUGCAAAGAUUCUGCUGUGUCUGCCUCCUGAGUACAAAGAUUCCAAGUGCGCACCAUCACACAGGGCUCAAAAUCUGGAUGCUGUUCCGUGUGGCCUGAUGAAGUGAGGUGGGGCUAAGAGUAAUUGUGCUUUAUAGAAACACUCCUGGAUGUGAAUGCUGUGUUCAUCUGGGGUACGGAGGGCAGGAGGGAGGCAGGUGUGGGCUUCUGGUAGGGAGGACCAGGGCCAGGAGAGGGAAGGUGAUGAGAAGAGGUGGUUGUGGAUGUUUCGGUUGGUAGAGCUGUGAGUAGAGAGGCCCUCCUAGUCACAUGCCCAGCUGACACUUUGCCUGGGUCUGUAGUAUUGUCUGAGUGGUCAUCACUGUGAUUUGGUGGAGCAGGCCCCGAGGAUUUGUAUGCUGAAGAUCUGAAUAGAGGCUCCCCAUUUACCCAUAAGGCAGUGACUGCAGUGCCCUGCUAGCAGCUGGGAGACUCCUAAUUCCUACAGACAUCUCCUGCACUCAUCAGCACCCAGGAAUCACCGUAAGGCAGCCUGCCUCGUGCGGUCUCUUUCUGAUGGGCUAAAUCCAGAACCUCCAGAAUCUAAUCGUUUCUUUACCGUAAAACCCUUUACCCAGGAAAGCCUGACAUAUAAAAUGAAUAGAAAAUUCUAAGUCCAGGGCAGGGACAGGGCUCAGCUGCUGGAGUGCUUGUCUAUCACACACAAGGCCCUGGGUUUGGUCCUUGGCACCCCACAAACACUGUCAUUAGCCUCCACCCAUUUAGAUACCCGGCACACCCCUCAUCAGCUUGGCAACGGAAAAAUGACUCAAGGGCUGGGGAUGUAGCUCAGAGGCAGUGCGCUGGCCCAGGAUGCAGGAGUCUUCCCCCUCCCAACACUGUACGGGGUAGGAAGGCAAAGGGCGACUCUAGGGAAGGCCACAAAACAAAAAACAAACAACAACACACACAGAAAACAGUGGUACUGGUCCAGCCAGCUGGAGGCAGAAGUGACACCCAAACAGAAGCAGAGCCAUUGAGGAACGAUGCAGCCUCAGCCGAGAGUAAAUGCAGGCAUCCAGCAUCUCCCUCAUGCGGCUUUUGAUCUCUGUGGAUUCCUUGUUUUGCCAAAUUCUACCAGGAGUCCGGGAAGGCCUGACGCCUCCUGGGGUGGGAGGAAGGGACUGGAGGAGAUCUGACCGUGCUCAUGAGGGAAUUCAUCAACGGGAGCUGUCCCAGGGAGGACAGCAGCAGGGCCCAGAAGAUGGGCAUUUCAACACAGCUUUUUUGUUUGUUUGUUUGUUUGUAUUUUGUUUUUUGAGACAGGGUUUCUCUGUGUAGCCCUGGGUGUCCUGGAACUCUCUCUGUAGACCAGGAUGGCCUUGAACUCACAGAGAUCCCCCUGCCUCUGCCUCCGGAGUGCUGGGAUUAAAGGCGUGCGCCACCACAGCCUGGCUUGAACACGUCUUGAAGCAUGCGAAGUACUGUGGUUUGAAUUCCGUCUCCCAGAUCUUGUGUGUUUGACGUGUGGUCCCUAACACAGCAGAGCUGAUAGAUAAGAACUUUGGGGGAAUUGACUGGAACUGAUCUGCUUGUGGAUUUAUGGGUAAUAAGUCAUAGCAGAAGUGGGGUAGCACCAUGAAUCUGUCUCACCUUGAUGCCCUCCACCAUGUUAUACAGGUCGAUGACGCGCAACACAUACCAGUACCGUGUUCAUGGGCUUCCUGGCGCCCAGAACUGUGAGCUAAACAUAUCUCUUUAUAGAUGGCCAUGCCUCUUUAUUUUGUCACAGCGAUAGUAAAGGGAUCGAGACACCAGGAAAUAGGUGUUUCAUCACAGGGAAGAGCAGGCAGCAUGCUCGGAAUUACAAAAGCACCCGCUAACUGAAUUGUUUAUUUAAUCAUGAUUGUUUGUUCCAUUGAUCGACUCUGCCGUGUGUACUUGGUGAAAAGUCAACA